rnacentral:rRNA from 1 species
AACGAACGCUGGCGGCAUGCCUAACACAUGCAAGUCGAACGAGACCUUCGGGUCUAGUGGCGCACGGGCGCGUAACGCGUGGGAACCUGCCCUUAGGUUCGGAAUAACUCCCCGUAAGGGGUGCUAAUACCGGAUAAUGUCUUCGGACCAAAGAUUUAUCGCCUUUGGAUGGGCCCGCGUUGGAUUAGCUAGUUGGUAGGGUAAAAGCCUACCAAGGCGACGAUCCAUAGCUGGUCUGAGAGGAUGAUCAGCCACACUGGGACUGAGACACGGCCCAGACUCCUACGGGAGGCAGCAGUGGGGAAUAUUGGACAAUGGGCGAAAGCCUGAUCCAGCAAUGCCGCGUGAGUGAUGAAGGCCUUAGGGUUGUAAAGCUCUUUUACCCGGGAUGAUAAUGACAGUACCGGGAGAAUAAGCUCCGGCUAACUCCGUG